AUUGAACGCUGGCGGCAGGCCUAACACAUGCAAGUCGAACGAGUGGCGGACGGGUGAGUAAUAUCUGGGAAACUGCCCGAUGGAGGGGGAUAACUACUGGAAACGGUAGCUAAUACCGCAUACAAUAGGCUAUGCCCAGAUGGGAGUAGCUAGUAGGUGGGGUAACGGCUCACCAAGGCGACAAUCCCUAGCUGGUCUGAGAGGGUGACCAGCCACACUGGAACUGAGACACGGUCCAGACUCCUACGGGAGGCAGCAGUGGGGAAUAGUGCACAAUGGGCGCAAGCCUGAUGCAGCCAUGCCGCGUGUAUGAAGAAGGCCUUCGGGUUGUAAAGUACUAUCAGCGGGGAGGCGUUACUCGCAGAAGAAGCACCGGCUAACUCCGUGCCAGCAGCCGCGGUAAUUC
rnacentral:rRNA from 1 species